GUGCCAGACUCCUACGGGAGGCAGCAGUGGGGAAUAUUGCACAAUGGGCGAAAGCCUGAUGCAGCGACGCCGCGUGAGUGAAGAAGUAUUUCGGUAUGUAAAGCUCUAUCAGCAGGGAAGAAAAUGACGGUACCUGACUAAGAAGCCCCGGCUAACUACGUGCCAGCAGCCGCGGUAAUACGUAGGUGGCGAGCGUUAUCCGGAAUUACUGGGUGUAAAGGGAGCGUAGGCGGGGGAACAAGUUGAAUGUUUAAGAUAUGGGCUCAACUCAUAUAAGCGUUCAAAACUGUUUUUCUUGAGUGAAGUAGAGGUAAGCGGAAUUCCUAGUGUAGCGGUGAAAUGCGUAGAUAUUAGGAGGAACACCAGUGGCGAAGGCGGUCUGCUGGACAGCAACUGACGCUGAGGCGCGAAAGCGUGGGGAGCAAACAGGAUUAGAUACCCGAGUAA
rnacentral:rRNA from 1 species